GCGUCGGUAGCGCAAUUGGUUAGCACGCGCCCUCGGAAAGGCUGAAUUGCGAGUUCAAUUCUCGUCUGAUGUU